UCUACUCUGGCCUACAGGGAGGAGUCUCUACAGACCGGAACCUGCCCCUGAAGUAGCGAGGUCUCAUAGCACACUGGGGGUGGAGCCUUUGGAGUGAAUAAAAGGAACAGCAAACUCAGCAUGCAGCAGAAGCGUCAAGGGACAGAGAAGAGGAUGGGAAAAGAAGAGCUGGUGUAAGCUGGCCAGCAGGCAGAACCAGCACCCUGAAGAGCCAAAAGAUGCCUCUUUGCUUGAUUUCCUCAGUGUAUCUGGCCCCUGGAUGCCAAAGAGAAAGAAGGGAGAUGAAGACAACUUGACUUCCAUCUUCCUCAGGAAAAAAACUAUCAAGCCUGCCACCCAGUCAAUCAGAUGGCUGGAUGCUUGUUGAGCAUGCUGGUUCCCUGGCUACCCACCUGGCAGAUGAGUCACCAUGGGGGGAAUGUCCUACUUCAUUAAAAACAAUGACUCAA